rnacentral:rRNA from 1 species
AAAGAUCGAAUGGGGAGAUUCAUCGUCAGCCGCUUUGGCUUCCGUGUGAACGCGAUGAUCGGGGCUUCGGCUCUGCGUCACGCGUUUGCUGCGGCAUGUCUGGAGUGGUCGGCGUGCACUUCUCCCCUAGUAGGACGUCGCGAUUCGUUGGGUGUCGGUUUACGGACCGGUAGGUCGCCUGGCGUAUCUCGUUCACGCGAGUUUGUGUCAGACCUCUGGAUUCCCAACCGGCUGCCCGGCGGUAUAAAACGAUAAUUAAACGGUAUUGGGCCGCAUUGAAUGCGUUCAGGCUCGUAGGCAGGCUUGUCUCGCUCGGAUUUACGGACCUAGUGCCGUUGCCGGGUGCUUGGCGAACUGUGGCUUGCGAUGUCCUCGGACUGGCUCUUGAAUAUUCUUACGAAUAUACCGAUCGGCGACGCUACUGCUUUGGGUACUUUCAGGACCCGUCUUGAACACCGGG